GCCUACGGGGCGCAGCAGUGAGGAAUAUUGGUCAAUGGGCGCAGGCCUGAACCAGCCAAGUAGCGUGAAGGAUGACUGCCCUAUGGGUUGUAAACUUCUUUUAUAUGGGAAUAAAGUUUUCCACGUGUGGAAUUUUGUAUGUACCAUAUGAAUAAGGAUCGGCUAACUCCGUGCCAGCAGCCGCGGUAAUACGGAGGAUGCGAGCGUUAUCCGGAUUUAUUGGGUUUAAAGGGUGCGUAGGCGGAAUGCCAAGUCAGCGGUAAAAUCGCGGGGCUCAACCUCGCUCCGCCGUUGAAACUGGCGUU
rnacentral:rRNA from 1 species